UUGACUUUGGACGAACCCUUGGGCACGAGCGAGGCACCAUCUAGUACCUGCCACAGAAGUGGGGACACCCCCGUCAGCAGAGGCCAGAGCGCCCCCUCAGCUUCCAGGCCCUGCCAAUCCUGAAGAGACUGAGUUUUAGCACCUUUUUGAAGUUCUGAUUAGGAAACAUCUGUCAUCUAUUGUCUCUAAGGGGAGCCACUAUAAGACUGAAAAAGAACCUUGGUCUCCACAAUCUUUUAUCUUAACCUGAACAUUUCCUUUCUAUUGAUCCCAGGUCUUUAGAUGACUCAACCAAGUGCCAACCAGAAAAUGUUUAAAUUAACCCAUAGCCCGGAAGGCCCCUCCCCACCUUGCUUUUGAGUUGUCCUGCCUUUCUAAACCAAUGUAUUUCUUAAAUGUAUCUGAUUGCUGCCUCAUGCCUCCCUAAAAUGUAUAAAACCAAGCUGCACCCUGACCACCUUGGGCACAUGUUCUCAGGGCCUCCCAAGAGCUAUGUCAUGGCCGUGGUCACUCAUAUUUGGCUCAGAAUAAAUCUUUUCAAAUA